UACAGAGGGUGCGAGCGUUGUCCGGAAUCACUGGGCGUAAAGGGCGCGUAGGCGGCCUGCUAAGUAGAGGGUGAAAUCCUGCGGCUCAACCGCAGGGCUGCCUUCUAAACUGUCAGGCUGGAGCACGGUAGAGGCAGAUGGAAUUCCCGGUGUAGCGGUGGAAUGCGUAGAGAUCGGGAAGAACACCAGUGGCGAAGGCGGUCUGCUGGGGCCGUUGCUGACGCUGAGGCGCGACACGUGGGGGAGCAAACAGG
rnacentral:rRNA from 1 species